AGUAACGGCGAGUGAAGCGGCAAAAGCUCAGAUUUGAAAUCUGGCGUCAUANUGGCGUCCGAGUUGUAAUCUGUAGAGGAGUGYUCGAGUGUNNNNNUGGCUUAAGUUCCUUGGAACAGGACGUCAUAGAGGGUGAGAAYCCCGUUAACGGCCUAUGUCUUAURCUCAUGUGAGUCUCCUUCAACGAGUCGAGUUGUUUGGGAAUGCAGCUCUAAAUGGKUGGUAAAUUCCAUCUAAAGCUAAAUACUGGCAAGAGACCGAUAGCGCACAAGUAGAGUGAUCGAAAGAUGAAAAGAACUCUGAACAGAGAGUUAAAUAGYACGUGAAAUYGUUGAAAGGGAAGCACUUGCNACCAGACNCGYUYGUAGYYGAUCANCCUCCAUUUUUGGUGGUGCACUCGGYURCAAGUGGGUCAGCAUCAGUUACRRUGGUGGGAAAAAGACNUGGGGAAUGUGGCUUCUUUCGGGGAGUGUUAUAGCCCUCGGUGYAAUGCCACCUAAUGUGACUGAGGCCCGCGCUUYGGCGAGGAUGCUGRCAUAAUGGUCGUAAGUGACCCGUCUUGAAACACGGACCAAGGAGUCUAACAUCUAUGCGAGUGUUUGGGCGUAGAAACCCUUACGCG
rnacentral:rRNA from 1 species